UCCCCCAAGUGGGACACAGGCCCCGCCACCACCCUGGAAUGACAACCCAUCAAAUCACAGCCAGUGCUGCCAAGACCCCAAGGUGCAAAAUGUGGCUCACAGCCCAGCCCAACCCGAAAAUGUUUGCUG